CCCCGCGCUGCCGCCUCUCCCUCCUCCCUCUGCUCCACUUACUGUAAGCACGCAAUAAGAAAGAGGACAGAUAACAGUUACAUCAACGAACAUAUUCUGCUGCAACAGUGAAUUGGCACGCAUUGAGCUUUGUGCAAUCAGAUGAGAUUUGAAUCCUUGUGUGAUGUUUUCAGUCUCAGAUGAACAGAGCAGUGUUUAUGUUUCUAAUAGUGUGUGCAAUACUCAUUGACAGGUGAUGCUGCUGCUAGUAGUAUCAGAGUUCUUUUAAAAGAAGUAACGCCAGAGUUAAAGAUUAAAAGGUUGCAUCUGACUGCGACGGUUGGUAGCACAGCUCUUCUCUAUGCUGUAACAGCAGCUGGACUUCAGUUACUAGGACCAAUGAUUUACCUCCAAAGCUGCAACCGGAGUUAAGGCCACGCUGCUUUACUUUGAAGACAACUGUGAGGUUCAUUGCAUGUUGGACACUACCAUGGCCUGAGGCUGAUGGCGCUGAAGAUAGGAACCCAACCAGGAUCUUGCCGAAGACUUCUCUCGCAAAUUUGUGGAUUGUGCUCCUUGGGAUCAGAAGAUUGAGCCACGGGUGUGGAACUUCCCAGAGGCCUUGAGCCCUCAGCUUCAGCUCAGAGGUGUGCACCCUGUCCAAGAACUCCAGAUAAUUACCAUCUUUGGAGCAGGUUCAAGAGCAAUCCGAGCUCUGGUGAUGAUCCCAAACUGGCCCAGGCCGCCAAGAGCAGCGUAGAAGAGGUCGGAGUUCUCCUCGUGUGAGCAGCAACCGGGUCCUGUGCAAGUCUCCUUCCAGAACACGGUCACCGUGGGCUCCAACCACUACACCGAGAAUGGUUGGAUGGCACCAUUCACCAUGGGUGAUCGUGUUGGCAAUGACCACUUUUUGGCACCUGACCUUGACGUGGCCCCGUUCUGUCGUUGCAAUGGACCGUCGUGUCAAUGUCGUCCACACAAAUCCUCAUCCUCGACACACGUAUAUGUGCAAUUAGGCUCUACGGUAACAACAAGGUGCGGUCUCUCCUGGUGCUGUUUUCUGGCAGGCAGUUGAUUUCGAGAUUUUCAUCGAAAUUUUUUUUCCAGUCUUAAC